CAGUAGCCGCGGUAAUACGGAGGGUGCAAGCGUUAAUCGGAAUUACUGGGCGUAAAGCGCACGCAGGCGGUCUGUCAAGUCAGAUGUGAAAUCCCCGGGCUUAACCUGGGAACUGCAUUUGAAACUGGCAGGCUAGAGUCUUGUAGAGGGGGGUAGAAUUCCAGGUGUAGCGGUGAAAUGCGUAGAGAUCUGGAGGAAUACCGGUGGCGAAGGCGGCCCCCUGGACAAAGACUGACGCUCAGGUGCGAAAGCGUGGGGAGCAAACAGGAUUAGAUACCCCAGUAGUCCCUGUCUCUUAUAC
rnacentral:rRNA from 1 species